CCGUUGACUGAUUUCAGUAGUCAGUUGAUAGUUUCUCCUCUAUUUCUCCUUUGUAGACUUGGCACACAUUCUUGCGAAUGUGUGCAUUUUU
rnacentral:ncRNA from 1 species